rnacentral:misc_RNA from 1 species
UCCACAUUGAAAUACUGUGUGUAUGAUGACACACUGAAUACCCCUUUCCAAUUGUUAGGUGGUUGUUGCUCAAAUCCUUCCGGUGGACUUCGAAGAGUUUGAUAACCCCGGCUGCUACCUCCUCCAUUAUUAUUUGAUAGGAAUGUUUGCAUAUUUGCUUCAGGGACUUCACAGGUGAUGUUACUUUUUUCUUCACUGACCACAGCAGGA